rnacentral:tRNA from 1 species
GCAGCUCAGUCAGCAGAGCAUGAGACCCUUAACCUCAAGGUUGUGGGUUCGAGCCCCAUGUUGGGCA